rnacentral:rRNA from 1 species
AUAGGGGAGCCGUAGGGAAACCGAGUCUUAACUGGGCGAAUGAGUUGCAGGGUAUAGACCCGAAACCCGGUGAUCUAUCCAUGGGCAGGUUGAAGGUUGGGUAACACUAACUGGAGGACCGAACCGACUAAUGUUGAAAAAUUAGCGGAUGACUUGUGGAUGGGGGUGAAAGGCCAAUCAAACCGGGAGAUAGCUGGUUCUCCCCGAAAGCUAUUUAGGUAGCGCCUCGUGAAUUCAUCUUCGGGGGUAGAGCACUGUUUCGACUAGGGGGUCAUCCCGACUUACCAACUCGAUGCAAACUGCGAAUACCGAAGAAUGUUAUCACGGGAGACACACGGCGGGUGCUAACGUCCGUCGUGAAGAGGGAAACAACCCAGACCGCCAGCUAAGGUCCCAAAGUCAUGGUUAAGUGGGAAACGAAGUGGGAAGGCUCAGACAGCCAGGAUGUUGGCUUAGAAGCAGCCAUCAUUUAAAGAAAGCGUAAUAGCUCACUGGUCGAGUCGGCCCGCGCGGAAGAUGUAACGGGGCUAAACCAUGCACCGAAGCUGCGGCAGCGACACAAAGUGUUGUUGGGUAGGGGAGCGUUCUGUAAGCCUGCGAAGGUGUACUGUGAGGUAUGCUGGAGGUAUCAGAAGUGCGAAUGCUGACAUAAGUAACGAUAAUGCGGGUGAAAAACCCGCACGCCGGAAGACCAAGGGUUCCUGUCCAACGUUAAUCGGGGCAGGGUGAGUCGACCCCUAAGGCGAGGCUGAAAAGCGUAGUCGAUGGGAAACGGGUUAAUAUUCCCGUACUGGUGGUAACUGCGAUGGGGGAACGGAGAAGGCUAGGUUGUCCGGGCGACGGUCGUCCCGGUUCAAGCAGGUAGGCAGAGUGAUUAGGCAAAUCCGGUCACUUAAUGCUGAGAUGUGAUGACGAACCACCAAGGUGGUGAAGCAAUUGAUGCCCCGCUUCCAGGAAAAGCCUCUAAGCUUCAGGUUACCAACAAUCGUACCCCAAACCGACACAGGUGGUCAGGUAGAGAAUACUCAGGCGCUUGAGAGAACUCGGGUGAAGGAACUAGGCAAAAUGGUGCCGUAACUUCGGGAGAAGGCACGCUGGCGGUAGGUAAAGUCCCUCGCGGACGGCGCUGAAGCCAGUCGAAGAUACCAGCUGGCUGCAACUGUUUAUUAAAAACACAGCACUGUGCAAACACGAAAGUGGACGUAUACGGUGUGACGCCUGCCCGGUGCUGGAAGGUUAAUUGAUGGGGUUAGCGCAAGCGAAGCUCCUGAUCGAAGCCCCAGUAAACGGCGGCCGUAACUAUAACGGUCCUAAGGUAGCGAAAUUCCUUGUCGGGUAAGUUCCGACCUGCACGAAUGGCGUAAUGAUGGCCAGGCUGUCUCCACCCGAGACUCAGUGAAAUUGAACUCGCUGUGAAGAUGCAGUGUACCCGCGGCAAGACGGAAAGACCCCGUGAACCUUUACUAUAGCUUGACACUGAACAUUGAGCCUUGAUGUGUAGGAUAGGUGGGAGGCUUUGAAGUGUGGACGCCAGUCUGCAUGGAGCCAACCUUGAAAUACCACCCUUUAACGUUUGAUGUUCUAACCUAGGCCCAUAAACUGGGUCGGGGACCGUGUCUGGUGGGUAGUUUGACUGGGGCGGUCUCCUCCUAAAGAGUAACGGAGGAGCACGAAGGUUGGCUAAGCAUGGUCGGACAUCAUGCGGUUAGUGCAAAGGCAUAAGCCAGCUUGACUGCGAGAGUGACGGCUCGAGCAGGUACGAAAGUAGGUCUUAGUGAUCCGGUGGUUCUGAAUGGAAGGGCCAUCGCUCAACGGAUAAAAGGUACUCCGGGGAUAACAGGCUGAUACCGCCCAAGAGUUCAUAUCGACGGCGGUGUUUGGCACCUCGAUGUCGGCUCAUCACAUCCUGGGGCUGAAGUAGGUCCCAAGGGUAUGGCUGUUCGCCAUUUAAAGUGGUACGCGAGCUGGGUUUAGAACGUCGUGAGACAGUUCGGUCCCUAUCUGCCGUGGGCGUUGGAAGAUUGAGAGGGGUUGCUCCUAGUACGAGAGGACCGGAGUGAACGCACCACUGGUGUUCGGGUUGUCAUGCCAAUGGCAUUGCCCGGUAGCUAAGUGCGGAAGAGAUAACCGCUGAAAGCAUCUAAGCGGGAAACUUGCCUCGAGAUGAGUCUUCCCUGUCGCUUUAAGCGACCUAAAGGAACGUUUAAGACUAAGACGUUGAUAGGCUGGGUGUGUAAGCGUAGCGAUACGUUGAGCUAACCAGUACUAAUGAACCGUGAGGCUUAACCUG